CGCGUGGGAACAUGCCUAUUAGUUGGGGACAACCUGUGGAAACGCAGGCUAAUACCGAAUACGUUCUUAGGAAUAAAGGUUGCCUCUCCUUGGAAGCAAUCGCUGAUAGAUUGGCCCGCGUUGGAUUAGCUAGUUGGUGGGGUAAAGGCCUACCAAGGCGACGAUCCAUAGCUGGUUUGAGAGGAUGAUCAGCCACACUGGGACUGAGACACGGCCCAGACUCCUACGGGAGGCAGCAGUGGGGAAUAUUGGACAAUGGGGGCAACCCUGAUCCAGCAAUGCCGCGUGUGUGAAGAAGGCCUGAGGGUUGUAAAGCACUUUCAAUUGUGAAGAAGGGUAUAAAUUUAAUAAAUUUGUACAUUGACGUUAACAAUAGAAGAAGCACCGGGCUAACUCUGUGCCAGCCGCGCGG
rnacentral:rRNA from 1 species